rnacentral:miRNA from 1 species
GCAGACACAUUCCAGCCAACCAGCAGCAGACCCUCCCUCCCAGACCCUCCCACCUCCUGGUCAGCAUCCAUUUUACAUUCAUUGUGAAGCUGCAUUCUUAGUGAGCUGUCCAGAAGGUGGGAGGGUCUGGGAGGGAGGGUCUGCUGCUGAUUGGCUGGAAUGUGUCUG